rnacentral:tRNA from 1 species
AAGGGAGACCUAAUUCAGGUAUAAGACGAAAAAAAAGUAGUCCCUACCAAGAAUCAAUCCCAAAAGGUCGGAACGAGGUAUGAGGCUUUCAAACUAGGUUCUGGGUUCAUAAAAGACCUGAAUCAGGAACAAGGGCUAUUAGCUCAGGUGGUUAGAGCGCACCCCUGAUAAGGGUGAGGUCCCUGGUUCGAGUCCAGGAUGGCCCACCUGCACAGGUGGCAAAAACAAAGAAAAGAAGCUCCGAAUCAGCACCUUAUCUUACUUAUAUAGUAAGAGAGAAUGCUGGCUCUGAGUACAGAGUCCAGAGGAACCUUGAAAACUGCAUAGAGCUAGGUGAAAAAGCCAAAAAAGAAGACCGCAA